rnacentral:rRNA from 1 species
UACGUAGGGGGCAAGCGUUGUCCGGAAUCAUUGGGCGUAAAGAGCGUGUAGGCGGCCUGGUAAGUCCGCUGUGAAAGUCCAGGGCUCAACCCUGGAAUGCCGGUGGAAACUGUCAGGCUAGAGUCCGGAAGAGGAGAGUGGAAUUCCCGGUGUAGCGGUGAAAUGCGCAGAUAUCGGGAAGAACACCCGUGGCGAAGGCGGCUCUCUGGGACGGUACUGACGCUGAGACGCGAAAGCGUGGGGAGCGAACAGG